AGUUUACACAUCUGCCAGCCACAUGUGCACAGGGUUUGGUCAGUUUUUACGCCAGACUGUCAGGCUGCCCAGGAGGAAAACAGAAUGACACACUCUGUCAACCGUAUCACAGAUGGAACCAAGCAAGCAGAAAGAAAGAAAGAAAGAAAGAAAGAAAGAAAUAGAGGA